rnacentral:rRNA from 1 species
CCAGUGGCGAAGGCGUCUAUCUGGUUCAAAUCUGACGCUGAGGCGCGAAGGCGUGGGGAGCAAACAGGAUUAGAUACCCUGGUAGUCCACGCUGUAAACGAUGAAUGUUAAAUAUGGGAAGUUUACUUUCUGUAUUAUAGCUAACGCGUUAAACAUUCCGCCUGGGGACUACGGUCGCAAGAUUAAAACUCAAAGGAAUUGACGGGGACCCGCACAAGCGGUGGAGCAUGUGGUUUAAUU